rnacentral:tRNA from 1 species
CCUUCGAUAGCUCAGUUGGUAGAGCGGUGGACUGUAGUCGGUGCAUCUGAAAUCCAUAGGUCGCUGGUUCAAAUCCGGCUCGAAGGA